GUAUUUGUUUUAUGAGUCGGUGUUAAAUUAUUUUUAAUACUCAAUUGGUAUAAUAUCAUUUGCAGGUGAAGUGAAAUUAUUUCGAAGGUUUAAAUGAUUUCUUGGGCUUGGUUCCUAUUGGUGCUUGGUACGGGAAUGGAAGGAAUGCUGGAUGGUACAAUCCAUUUCUCAUGGCUUGCUAUGAUCCCGACACUGAUGAAUAUCAAAGUGUCUGUCGUGUAAUGUCCGGCUUCUCUGAUGCGUUCUGUAUAGAGGUUCUCUGUCUCCAUUCUCAAAACCCUAGCUCCGAACCAUAUUCUUCAAAAAUGAGGGUUGGAUGCGACAUAGAUGAUGAGAAUCCGAGUCUAGAUUCGACUUGCUAGGUUUGUAUUCAUCUUUUAAUCUUUAUAUAUGUUUUUAGGGUUCUUACGUGUGCUUUUAAUUCAGCAAGUUUAUUCAUAUUAGAAGAAAUAAUGAAGAAAUUGUUCUUGAUUGAUUUUUGGAAGCCGAAAUUCAGUGUCAAUUUCGGGUUAGUUAUUGUGUAAAAUCAACUUUGUUCAUCGAUCAAUCAUUUUUGUUUUGAAAUUAGUUGAAAUAAGGGAUUGUUUAUGUGAUAAACCAAUGUGUGUGUAGAAUAUUUUGUGCAGUUGCGUGUUUCAAAAACGAAGAUGAAGGAGCAGAGGUGAAAGAGAACACAAACAAGAUUUUAGCCGUCUUUUUUGCUGAAUUUGGUAUCACAAGUGAUGCAGCAUUGAAGGUCGGUACGUUCGAGUUGGGUCGCGUCGGGUCAUUAUGUUUAUUAAAUGUAUCCCGUGUGGGAAUUGAGUUUGGUUAGGAUGAUAAGUAGUGGAGUUCUGUUUUUCUUUAAUUUCUUGAUCACUCAAAUGAAGCUGGUUAAAUUUUUCGCAUUUUUAUGUCAUUGAAUAACACUAUUUACUUAA